UGUCACGGAGAGCAGUGAGAAGAGCGAAGCCCUCUGCUUGAAAAACUGAGCAGUGGGGAGAGAGAGGAAGAGAUAGAAAAAGAGGAGAGAAGGAAGAACCGGGGCAAGGGACGCGGGCAACACCAGAACCAACUCCAGAAGAUGUCUUAGAGCCAUCGGUGUAAUAACUGAUGUCGGGAAGGAAGGAGGGAAGAGGAGUGGGGGAAAGGUCAGGGAUGGCUGGGGGAGAGGGAUAGAUGUAAGGCAGCGGCCUCCUCUCAGCGCGGAAGGGAAGUGACUCGGGUGGACGAAGGAGGGAAGAAAGUAGAAGGACCUUCAUGUCCAAAGGAAGGACCCUAAGAAGGGCGAUAGCUGCAAGGGUUGGAGUGGUGCGGAAGCCCCGGAUGGCAUGGACACAGAACUUUCUUUGUGUGGACCUCAGCUGGCUGCGACCAGCCCUGGUUUUGGCUGCAUCUUCCCAAAUGGAAGCAGCAUAUGUAAUCACUGGUUCGAAAGCCCCAAGGUAAAGCCUCCUACGUGCAUGGAAACCAAAGCCAUAUCUGGCAUUGGAGCAUCUCUUAAGACGGGAGAAGAAGGAUAGAGCCCUCUCACAGACCCUCUGUAAAUGAGGGGAGAAGGACAAGCGAUCAUCGAAAGUGACCCCGAGGAUUUUGAGGCAGUCUGGGCACUCCAGCUCUAAACCAUCAAUCUUCAAAGAGGGAGGGUUGUUGAAGAUAGGGAGGACCCGGGAUUUAUCCGGUGAGAGAAUUAGUUUCCAGUCCAGACACCACUCGGAGAUCAAGUCGAGGGUCCGUUGCGCUGAGGAAACAAUGGAAUUGGGAGGGCCAGAGACAACAAUCUGUAAGUCAUCGGCGAAGGCUUGCACAUGAACACCCGAAGGAAAGGGUAGAGAGAGGACCGAAUUGAAAACAAUGUUCCAGGCAUGUGGUCCACUCUUGGAACCCUGGGCGCAACCACGGGUGGGAAAUGCAGAGCGAGAAUAGCCCCGAUGGGAGAGGGAGACGGACCUAUUGGUAAAGAAAGAUUGAUAGACCGCUUGGAGAAGAGGAGGACAGGAAGCAUCAGCAAGGCAAGCAAAGAAGGCAGGGUGCCAAAGGUGGUCAAAGGCAGACUUAAUGUCAAGACUAAUUAGGAAACACCCUUGAUGUGUCUUGACUGCCGAAGAUAUCCUCGAUUUUAACGAUGAGAGGGCAUCAAUCGAGGAGCGGCACCUUCGGAAGCCAAACUGUAGGGGGUGUAAUAACUUAUUUGACUCAAAAAAGUGAGCAAGCCUAUGAGCAAUUAUGUCCUCAAAGACUUUGCCUAACACCGGUAAAAGGGUGAUAGGACGGUGGCGGGAGGCAAAGUCUUCAGAGGAGGACGCCUUGGGGACCAGGACAAGCCUGCCUGUCUUCCAGAGAGUAGGGAAAAGACCAAGAGAUAGACAGCGGUUAAAGAGAAGUAGGAAGAAGGAGGGAAAGGAAGAAAUAAGCCACUUAGCAAACUGUCCAGGUAACUGGUCAGGGCCAGGUGCCUUCCUGGGAUUAAGGUUGUUAAUUGCCCAAGAGUACUCAAAAGGAGUAAUAGGAGGGUCAGGAGGAGAAGAAUGAGAGGAGGAGCUAGUGUUUAGAGCAAAGUGAAAGGGCCUAGUGUCAGGAGGGGGGUCAGUGAAGAAAGAGUCCAACAUAUCCUGAAGACAGGCAGGGAUGUUAUGGUGAAUUAAAAUAUUCUCAAACCGUCGGGAGCAAAGAGGGUCAGAUUUAGCCGAGCCAUGGGAAAUAUAGCGAUAGAUUGGGCCCCAAGGAUUAUGCUCAAAAGUAUUGCAGAGUUUCCUAAAAUAAUUAGUCUUAGCCCUGUCAAUAGCCUUGUUGAAGCGGUUACGCACUACCACAUAACGUUCUCUCAAGCGGUCACGAAGUGGAGGAAAGAAGUUCUUAUAUUCCCUUCCCAGUCUCCUGGAGAGGGUUUUAAGGGACUGUAGUUUAGGAGACCACCAGGGAUUGGGUGGGGGGAAAGCAGGAAGUGGUCCCUUGGGGGAAAGGUUGGCAGAACAACACAUGUGUAACUGUUCGUAAAAAGUGCCAACAAAGCAAUCGAUGGAAGCGGCAGAGUCACAAUUGUUAAGAGCCACCUGCAGGGCACCUUCAGGAGAAAGGAGAGAUUGAAGAGAAAAGAAAAGCCUAGAAGGUGGGGCAGAUUUAAGAUUAAAAGAGGAAAAGUCAGGAAAGAGAGGAGGGGAAGAAAGAGGAGAAGCGUCAAGAUCCGGGGUGGAAACAGAAAAUGAGAUCUCAAAGUGAUCUGAGAGAUCCCACUCAACCGCAUCCCACCCGGACACAGAAGGGAGGAGACUGGAGGUGAUGCAGGUGACAUCUAUGGAAGAGGAUGAAGAUCCUUGAGCACGGGUAAUGGCUCCAUGACGGUUACACACCGCCAGGUUUAGGGAGUCCAACAUGAAGUUGAGGUGCGUACCUUUGACACGGUGGCGGUUACUCCAGCGGUUGGACUCAGCAUUAAAAUCUCCAGCAAGAAGGAGAUUAGGUGGAGGAGGAGAGCCAAAUAGGGUAGUAAAAGAAUCAGCUGUCCUCGAAGCAUUAGCCGGGCAAGGAAUGUAAACCGAACAGAUGGUGAAGUGGAAGUUCGGUAUGUCAACAACCGCCAGAACACGGUUGACAGUUUGGGGAGGAGUAGAACCGGUAGAACUUGGUUCAGCACCACAAUAGCCGCACUACAUUUGUUGUUAGAAAUGGGGGCAUGCAAGAAAGAGGAAGGUGGAAUAGGGUGGGCAGACGGAAGUCGGUUGUUUGAAACGGGAAGUUCUUGCAGCAGUAGGAUAUCUACGGCUUUAGAAGAAGCUUCCUGGAGAAUGGAAUGGAAACAUGCAAAUGAACGAUUGCAAUUUAACUGCAAAAAAGAUAUUAACAUGUGUGUUGAACCAAGUUAUGGAAACUCUCCUCCACCAUUUGUAAGACCGGACAGGCAAAUGAGUCUGCCCUGUGACCGUUAUGAUCCGGCUUGCAGCGGAAACAACUGGGGCUAGCACCAGUUGUGGGACAGUCCGCAAUCUUGUGGGCAAGCCCACAAUGAAGGCAACGCACCGGGCCAGAACAAGAAUUGGUCCGGUGCCUGAGACUACCGCAGGACCUGCAGGGGAAGGUAGCCCUAGUCCUGUCAAUGGACAGAGAAGAGAAUCCGAAAUAGAUUCUCUUUUUGCCCUUCAGAGCGGUGGCAACGAUGUUGUUGGUCUCAAACACUGCAUGGACCCGACCGUUCCGCGCUGAGAUAGUUCGGAUGAGUCGGCAGUCAGUAUCCUGACAAUCGACCGACCGGACAAACAUGGUGGUGAGAUCCUCCUCAUUGGAAACGUCAGGUACAUUAAAGAUGGUGAAGCGAUGGUGGAAAGAGGGAGGUGUAGAAAUUCUGAUAUUAGUAUUUUUGGUAAGGUCCACCAGUUUACGGUGCAGUUUAGUAAAGUCCUCUUUAGACCUGGUAUGUAUGGUAAUUUUAUCCCUGGAAGUAUUUAUAUGGGACCCAGGAACCCCCAAAGCGGAGAAAGAAGACAAAUUGGAAAGCCUAAGGCUAAGAGGCUGAGCCUCCUUGAGGUCCUGUGUGAUAGUGAGGUGGAACGGGUUAUUGGUCAAAGUAAACCUAGGAGUGGUCUUUGGUUGGGUAGGGACAGGUCCCCGACUAGCCGAGGGGACUGAGCUAGCAGGUGGCACAGAUGGACGGCUUGAGGUCAUGGCAGAGUACGAAAGGGGAGCGGCAGAAGCGGAAGUGUCAACAGGGGUGGCAAGUGUACUUAUGGUAGAGAUACCAGGCUCAGCAAGAGUGGCUGAGGUGGCAUCAACAACAUGUGGGUGGGCAAAAUGCUGCUGUUUUGAUUGGGAAGCCAUCUGUAAUAGGAGUCCAGAGGAAAAAUCCAAUUCGGAGAUACGACGUUCAUAGUCGGCCCUAAGAUGUAGGAGAAUGUCCUUAAGUUCAGAAUGAACUGAGGAACCAAGUUCAGCAGAAAAUUCAGAAAUGGAAUUAGAGAUAGUCUUAAAUGAGAUGGCUGCCCAAUCAAAAAUAUCAAAACAAUUGGUAGAAUUAGUACAUUUAGAAAAGGCCACAAAAUUAGGUGGUGGCUCCAAGGAAAUGGUAGGCACAGGAAAGUCCUCAACGUCAACAAUAGUAUUGGGUUGGUAAGAAUGGGAGGAAGAAAGAGAUUCAGAUUCAGAAGGAGAGGGAGAAAGAGAGCGAGAUGGAGAGGAACUCACAGGUUUUUGGUUAUCCGGGUCCAGGGUAAGGCGCAGAGUUGCGUCGCGCAAAUGAACAGGGGAGUAAGUCAGCUGAGGGUCUUGGCCGGCGGGAAGGGUCUCGGUAGGGCCCGCGGCGCGCGGCGCUCGGGGAGUCUUAGGCCUAGUUGACCGUCCGCUGCGGAGCUUCCGCUCGGUGGACAUCGCCGCGUAGGUAGGGAAGGCGGGCGGGAGCUUGGUAAAAGAGCUGUCUUCACGGCAAAAACUUGAAGAAAGUAAAUUGGCCAACUUAUUGUAUGGUCUUCUAACCUAGCUAAAAUGUCCAGACGCGAUUCUAAAGGUGGAAGACAUAAGGAUCAGUAAGCCAACGAGCCCGCGAAGGUGGAGGGAUGAUCAGUGACAGGUGCUGGGAGAGGCAGGAGGAUGACAUCCAGAAGAUCAGGCAGGGGGUAGGAACCUUAGCCCUAGACCUUAGGAUUGGACAGCUAGAGGCUCUCAUCUGCUUCCUGUUUCUCAGGAAGGCCCUUGGCGCAGCAGUUGGCGCACUUGGAGGUGCGCGGAUUACCCAGGGAGGAGUAGGCACGACCCUCGUGUUCUUCUUCUCCUCAGUGGAAGCACUGAGCCGAGUUGUGGCCAAAGCCACAGCAGAGGAAGCUGACACGGACGGACUCCUCGAAGUUGAGGAUUACUCCAUCAACAACUAUCUUUCCGCGCACACCCAGAGCUCUGAAGGUCUGCAGGUCCACCUCGAUGAAGGCCGUGCAGGUCCCAUUCCUUGCAGCAGAACGGUGAGCCACACGCACCACCUUGUCACCAGGGAGUUGGCUGACGGCAGGAGUUGCCAGGAAGGUCUCUUCAAUGGUGGAGUUGAUGGUUUCUUGGUCCACCCUGAAGAGGCAGAUGCGCGGAAAGAUCUCCUUCUGCUGGCGGACCUUCAUGCCAUUCAGCUUGUUGGCCGGGGAGGAAGUGACAGCAGGGAUGGUGUCAGGGUUGCUGGAGUGGAGCACCAGAUUUCCUUUGGUGCGCAGGCAUGCCCAGACGCCUUGGGGAAAUAUGUGGGCAGCGCGGAUAGCCUUCAGAAUUUCCCGGGGGUCAGCUUGCGGGUUGUCCGAGACAACCACAGUGUGCGCCGCAGAUUUUUCGCCGUGUAGUUUGACCUUAGGCACGUCAGGCUUGGAGACACAGGAGGAUGCAAUCUUGGGCGGGAUAGAUGUGUUGGUUCUCUUGGCUGGCGGGUUUGGCGCUUCAGGCUGCUUCAACUUUGCUGGGGCAGAGGCUGCUUCUUGGGAGCAGGAGCUGCCACAGGGACAGCAGCUGGAGCGGGGAAGGCAGGCUUGAUGGACUCAGUCUGAGCACCUGUAUUCUUGCAGGCGGGAGCAGGGCCAGUUUGGGUGGACUUGUAGGAGGUCUUGGGCUUGUUGGAAUCCAGGAUUUUCUCUAACUCCAGGAUGUCAUCCACGGUGUCAGAGAGACUCUGGAAAUCCGUGAAGAGUCUAUUGAUGAUCCCAGUCCACCUCUCAAUGUACUGGACAAGGUCUAGGGAGGAGUCCUUUGAGGGAAGGCUGGCCGAGGGAGCGUAGGAUCUCGUGGUUGCGGGAAACGAUAAUUUUGUCCUCUUCAACUAGAGCUUCGAUGUCCACCAUGAACUUAGAAGACAUAGCACACUCGCUUCUUCUUAGCAGAUUCCAUGGCCAGGAGAGCAGAGCUGUUUCCGAAGCGAGAGCUGAAACAAACUCAGGACUGUAUUUUAAAAAUCUUAUACGCAAGAAUGGAUCGAUUUUUAAAAUAUAUAAUGACACACUUUUAGGUUCAUUUAUUUUAGAA